GACAAGAAAUAACAAUACGGGGCUUAAUGUCUUGUAAUUGGAAUGAUGGGAAUUUAAACCUCUUCCAGAGUAUCAAUUGGAGGGCAAGUCUGGUGCCAGCAGCCGCGGUAAUUCCAGCUCCAAUAGCGUAUAUUAAAAUUGUUGCAGUUAAAAAGCUCGUAGUUGAAUUUCUGCUGCAUUUCAUUUCUCUUUCUGAGUUUGUUUUUGCGGCUUAUUUCGGUUUGAUUUUUUCUUUCCGGAUGAUUACUUUGAGAAAAUUAGAGUGCUCAAAGCAGGCUUUUGCCUUGAAUAGUUUAGCAUGGAAUAAUAAAGUAGGACUUUGGUUCUAUUUUGUUGGUUUUAGGUACCAAAGUAAUGGUUAAUAGGAACAGUUGGGGGCAUUCGUAUUUAACUGUCAGAGGUGAAAUUCUUA
rnacentral:rRNA from 1 species